rnacentral:tRNA from 1 species
GGGCAUAUAGCUCAGUGGUAGACGGUGUGCCUAGUAUGCACCAGGUCCUGGGUUCAAUUCCCAAUAACUCCA